rnacentral:lncRNA from 1 species
GCAACUGGGACAAUGCGACCGUCCCACCAAAGUAUUUCUCCUCUGCCAGGGAUGCUGACAAUACCAUCUUUACCCAAGCCAAGUUAGCCACCAAUUCCCACCAUCCCGAGUCUUUCAAAACCAGCUGUGCCACCAAUACCUUCCAUUCUACCAUCCCAACCCAAGCAACUAUUCCAACAUUCCCAGCAUGCCCAAAAUCACAUUGCCUUCA